rnacentral:rRNA from 1 species
UUGGAGGGCAAGUCUGGUGCCAGCAGCCGCGGUAAUUCCAGCUCCAAUAGCGUAUAUUAAAGUUGUUGCAGUUAAAAAGCUCGUAGUUGAAUUUCGAGAUCAAAUUGUUGGUCGUGCCUCGGUACGUACUGGCAUUAUUGAUUUCUCCCUUCUGAAGAGCCACGAUGUCAUUAAUUUGGUGUCGUGGGGAAUCAGGACUGUUACUUUGAAAAAAUUAGAGUGUUUAAAGCAGGCUCACGCUUGAAUACAUUAGCAUGGAAUAAUGAAAUAGGACGUUUGAUUCUAUUUUGUUGGUUUCUAGGAUCGACGUAAUGAUUAAUAGGGAUAGUUGGGGGCAUUAGUAUUCAAUUGUCAGAGGUGAAAUUCUUGGAUUUAUUGAAGACUAACUACUGCGAAAGCAUUUGCCAAGGAUGUUUUCAUUAAUCAAGAACGAAAGUUAGGGGAUCGAAGACGAUCAGAUACCGUCGUAGUCUUAACCAUAAACUAUGCCGACUAGGGAUCGGAUGAUGUUAAUUUUUUAAUGACUCAUUCGGCGCCUUACGGGAAAC